rnacentral:rRNA from 1 species
ACACGACUACAUUAGAUACCCCCUGUAGUCCCAGCCCUAAACGAUGCGCGUUAGGUGUAUCGGUGACCACGAGUCACCGAGGUGCCGAAGGGAAACCGUGAAACGUGCCGCCUGGGAAGUACGGUCGCAAGGCUGAAACUUAAGGAAUUGGCGGGGGAGCACCACAACGGGUGGAGCCUGCGGUUUAAUUGGACUCAACGCCGGGAAGCUCACCGGAUAAGACAGCGGAAUGAUUGCCGGGCUGAAGACCCUGCAUGACCAGCUG